rnacentral:lncRNA from 1 species
UGUGCAUGUCCUUAUCAACAUAUUAAGCAAAUCGAUGGGAGAAGAUUUGAAAGCAUUUAUAAAAGGGAGAAGGGUAGGAUAGAGGGGACCAUAUUGCCUUAUGGUCCUUGUUGCAAUGAUGCCCUUAUUGUUUGUGAUAAUAUUGGCGAGUAAUGAGUUGAAGAGGAACGAGUGAUUAUGUAUCAUUGGUCGGCUCCUCGUGGCGCACUCUCGCCAACAAUUUUUCCCUCACAUAAACCCCACUCAUUCCUUCCCUCUAAUCAACAUUUUCACUCUAUCACACGCUCAAUCCUUCAUUUUCUACCUUUUUUUUUACGGUUUUUUCUUAACAUAUGUAUUUAGGAAAGUUAAAUUCUACAAAAAUACUUGUAUAUUUUAAAGUCUCUUUAAUAAAUUAGUAUACAAAAUUAGAAAUAAAAUAAUUUAAAUAUAUAUUUAAUC